CGGCACGUGGAGUGGUUCCACGACCACGCGCGCGUGGAGUCCGCGCUGUUCGACGGGACCGGCGAGCCGGACGGCGGUGCGGUGCCGGCCCGGCCGGC
rnacentral:tRNA from 1 species